AUGAACGCUGGCGGCGUGCCUAAUACAUGCAAGUCGAGCGAACGGACGAGAAGCUUGCUUCUCUGAUGUUAGCGGCGGACGGGUGAGUAACACGUGGAUAACCUACCUAUAAGACUGGGAUAACUUCGGGAAACCGGAGCUAAUACCGGAUAAUAUUUUGAACCGCAUGGUUCAAAAGUAAAAGACGGUCUUGCUGUCACUUAUAGAUGGAUCCGCGCUGCAUUAGCUAGUUGGUAAGGUAACGGCUUACCAAGGCAACGAUGCAUAGCCGACCUGAGAGGGUGAUCGGCGACACAGGAACUGAGACACGGUCCAGACUCCUACGGGAGGCAGCAGUAGGGAAUCUUCCGCAAUGGGCGAAAGCCUGACGGAGCAACGCCGCGUGAGUGAUGAAGGUCUUCGGAUCGUAAAACUCUGUUAUUAGGGAAGAACAUAUGUGUAAGUAACUGUGCACAUCUUGGCGGUACCUAAUCAGAAAGCCACGGGUAACUACGUG
rnacentral:rRNA from 1 species